GAUGAACGCUGACAGAAUGCUUAACACAUGCAAGUCAACUUGAACUUCGGUUUGGGUGGCGGACGGGUGAGUAACGCGUAAAGAACUUGCCUCACAGCUAGGGACAACAUUUGGAAACGAAUGCUAAUACCUGAUAUUAUGAUUUUAGGGCAUCCUAGAAUUAUGAAAGCUAUAUGCGCUGUGAGAGAGCUUUGCGUCCCAUUAGCUAGUUGGAGAGGUAACGGCUCACCAAGGCGAUGAUGGGUAGCCGGCCUGAGAGGGUGAACGGCCACAAGGGGACUGAGACACGGCCAUUACUCCUACGGGAGGCAGCAGUGGGGAAUAUUGGACAAUGGACCAAGAGUCUGAUCCAGCAAUUCUGUGUGCACGAUGAAGUUUUUCGGAAUGUAAAGUGCUUUCAGUUGGGAAGAAAAAAAUGACGGUACCAACAGAAGAAGUGACGGCUAAAUACGUG
rnacentral:rRNA from 1 species